UACGAAGGGGGCUAGCGUUGUUCGGAAUUACUGGGCGUAAAGCGCACGUAGGCGGACAUUUAAGUCAGGGGUGAAAUCCCAGAGCUCAACUCUGGAACUGCCUUUGAUACUGGGUGUCUUGAGUAUGGAAGAGGUGAGUGGAAUUCCGAGUGUAGAGGUGAAAUUCGUAGAUAUUCGGAGGAACACCAGUGGGCGAGGGCGGCUCACUGGUCCGAUUACUGACCGCU
rnacentral:rRNA from 1 species